rnacentral:rRNA from 1 species
GAUGAACGCUGGCGGCAGGCCUAACACAUGCAAGUCGAACGAAGUCUUCGGACUUAGUGGCGCACGGGUGAGUAACACGUGGGAAUAUACCUUACGCUGGGGGAUAACAUCGGGAAACUGAUGCUAAUACCGCAUACGCCCUUCGGGGGAAAGAUUUAUCGGCGAAAGAUUAGCCCGCGUCUGAUUAGCUAGUUGGUGGGGUAAAGGCCUACCAAGGCGACGAUCAGUAGCUGGUCUGAGAGGAUGAUCAGCCACACUGGGACUGAGACACGGCCCAGACUCCUACGGGAGGCAGCAGUGGGGAAUAUUGGACAAUGGGCGGAAGCCUGAUCCAGUCAUGCCGCGUGAGUGAUGAAGGCCUUCGGGUUGUAAAGCUCUUUCGCACGCGACGAUGAUGACGGUAGCGUGAGAAGAAGCCCCGGCUAACUUCGUGCCAGCCGCCGCCGUAA